rnacentral:rRNA from 1 species
UACAGAGGGUGCAAGCGUUGUUCGGAAUUACUGGGCGUAAAGGGCUCGUAGGCGGCCAACUAAGUCAGACGUGAAAUCCCUCGGCUUAACCGGGGAACUGCGUCUGAUACUGGAUGGCUCGAGUUUGGGAGAGGGAUGCGGAAUUCCAGGUGUAGCGGUGAAAUGCGUAGAUACUGGGAGGAACACCAGUGGCGAAGGCGGCUACCUGGACCGGUUCUGACGCUGAGGCGCGAAAGCGUGGGUAGCAAACAGG